rnacentral:rRNA from 1 species
GGUUAAGCGACUAAGCGUACACGGUGGAUGCCCUGGCAGUCAGAGGCGAUGAAGGACGUGCUAAUCUGCGAUAAGCGUCGGUAAGGUGAUAUGAACCGUUAUAACCGGCGAUUUCCGAAUGGGGAAACCCAGUGUGUUUCGACACACUAUCAUUAACUGAAUCCAUAGGUUAAUGAGGCGAACCGGGGGAACUGAAACAUCUAAGUACCCCGAGGAAAAGAAAUCAACCGAGAUUCCCCCAGUAGCGGCGAGCGAACGGGGAGCAGCCCAGAGCCUGAAUCAGUGUGUGUGUUAGUGGAAGCGUCUGGAAAGGCGCGCGAUACAGGGUGACAGCCCCGUACACAAAAAUGCACAUGCUGUGAGCUCGAUGAGUAGGGCGGGACACGUGGUAUCCUGUCUGAAUAUGGGGGGACCAUCCUCCAAGGCUAAAUACUCCUGACUGACCGAUAGUGAACCAGUACCGUGAGGGAAAGGCGAAAAGAACCCCGGCGAGGGGAGUGAAAAAGAACCUGAAACCGUGUACGUACAAGCAGUGGGAGCACGCUUAGGCGUGUGACUGCGUACCUUUUGUAUAAUGGGUCAGCGACUUAUAUUCUGUAGCAAGGUUAACCGAAUAGGGGAGCCGAAGGGAAACCGAGUCUUAACUGGGCGUUAAGUUGCAGGGUAUAGACCCGAAACCCGGUGAUCUAGCCAUGGGCAGGUUGAAGGUUGGGUAACACUAACUGGAGGACCGAACCGACUAAUGUUGAAAAAUUAGCGGAUGACUUGUGGCUGGGGGUGAAAGGCCAAUCAAACCGGGAGAUAGCUGGUUCUCCCCGAAAGCUAUUUAGGUAGCGCCUCGUGAAUUCAUCUCCGGGGGUAGAGCACUGUUUCGGCAAGGGGGUCAUCCCGACUUACCAACCCGAUGCAAACUGCGAAUACCGGAGAAUGUUAUCACGGGAGACACACGGCGGGUGCUAACGUCCGUCGUGAAGAGGGAAACAACCCAGACCGCCAGCUAAGGUCCCAAAGUCAUGGUUAAGUGGGAAACGAUGUGGGAAGGCCCAGACAGCCAGGAUGUUGGCUUAGAAGCAGCCAUCAUUUAAAGAAAGCGUAAUAGCUCACUGGUCGAGUCGGCCUGCGCGGAAGAUGUAACGGGGCUAAACCAUGCACCGAAGCUGCGGCAGCGACACUAUGUGUUGUUGGGUAGGGGAGCGUUCUGUAAGCCUGUGAAGGUGUGCUGUGAGGCAUGCUGGAGGUAUCAGAAGUGCGAAUGCUGACAUAAGUAACGAUAAAGCGGGUGAAAAGCCCGCUCGCCGGAAGACCAAGGGUUCCUGUCCAACGUUAAUCGGGGCAGGGUGAGUCGACCCCUAAGGCGAGGCCGAAAGGCGUAGUCGAUGGGAAACAGGUUAAUAUUCCUGUACUUGGUGUUACUGCGAAGGGGGGACGGAGAAGGCUAUGUUGGCCGGGCGACGGUUGUCCCGGUUUAAGCGUGUAGGCUGGUUUUCCAGGCAAAUCCGGAAAAUCAAGGCUGAGGCGUGAUGACGAGGCACUACGGUGCUGAAGCAACAAAUGCCCUGCUUCCAGGAAAAGCCUCUAAGCAUCAGGUAACAUCAAAUCGUACCCCAAACCGACACAGGUGGUCAGGUAGAGAAUACCAAGGCGCUUGAGAGAACUCGGGUGAAGGAACUAGGCAAAAUGGUGCCGUAACUUCGGGAGAAGGCACGCUGAUAUGUAGGUGAAGCGACUUGCUCGUGGAGCUGAAAUCAGUCGAAGAUACCAGCUGGCUGCAACUGUUUAUUAAAAACACAGCACUGUGCAAACACGAAAGUGGACGUAUACGGUGUGACGCCUGCCCGGUGCCGGAAGGUUAAUUGAUGGGGUUAGCGCAAGCGAAGCUCUUGAUCGAAGCCCCGGUAAACGGCGGCCGUAACUAUAACGGUCCUAAGGUAGCGAAAUUCCUUGUCGGGUAAGUUCCGACCUGCACGAAUGGCGUAAUGAUGGCCAGGCUGUCUCCACCCGAGACUCAGUGAAAUUGAACUCGCUGUGAAGAUGCAGUGUACCCGCGGCAAGACGGAAAGACCCCGUGAACCUUUACUAUAGCUUGACACUGAACAUUGAGCCUUGAUGUGUAGGAUAGGUGGGAGGCUUUGAAGUGUGGACGCCAGUCUGCAUGGAGCCGACCUUGAAAUACCACCCUUUAAUGUUUGAUGUUCUAACGUUGACCCGUAAUCCGGGUUGCGGACAGUGUCUGGUGGGUAGUUUGACUGGGGCGGUCUCCUCCUAAAGAGUAACGGAGGAGCACGAAGGUUGGCUAAUCCUGGUCGGACAUCAGGAGGUUAGUGCAAUGGCAUAAGCCAGCUUGACUGCGAGCGUGACGGCGCGAGCAGGUGCGAAAGCAGGUCAUAGUGAUCCGGUGGUUCUGAAUGGAAGGGCCAUCGCUCAACGGAUAAAAGGUACUCCGGGGAUAACAGGCUGAUACCGCCCAAGAGUUCAUAUCGACGGCGGUGUUUGGCACCUCGAUGUCGGCUCAUCACAUCCUGGGGCUGAAGUAGGUCCCAAGGGUAUGGCUGUUCGCCAUUUAAAGUGGUACGCGAGCUGGGUUUAGAACGUCGUGAGACAGUUCGGUCCCUAUCUGCCGUGGGCGCUGGAGAACUGAGGGGGGCUGCUCCUAGUACGAGAGGACCGGAGUGGACGCAUCACUGGUGUUCGGGUUGUCAUGCCAAUGGCACUGCCCGGUAGCUAAAUGCGGAAGAGAUAAGUGCUGAAAGCAUCUAAGCACGAAACUUGCCCCGAGAUGAGUUCUCCCUGACUCCUUGAGAGUCCUGAAGGAACGUUGAAGACGACGACGUUGAUAGGCCGGGUGUGUAAGCGCAGCGAUGCGUUGAGCUAACCGGUACUAAUGAACCGUGAGGCUUAACCUU